UAUGUUUAUUAUGCACCCCAUACCCAUCCUGUGGGCGGUAGUCAAAAGAUUACAGAGGUACAUAAUGGGUCCAGGGACUGGGCCUCAAAGUUUUGAUAGCUGAGCAAGUUACAGAGGUAAUGAAUUCACAAUUUACAAAGGUAAUGAACUCACAAUUUACAAAGCUAAUGAACUCCAGGUAGGUCUAGUCACAAUCAUGACAAGUUACAAAGGUAUUUACAGAUUACAGAGGUACACAAUGGGUCCAGGGACCGGGCUCCAAAGUUUUGAUGGCUGAACUAGGUACAAGGUAAUGAACUCACAAGUUACAAAGGUAAUGAACUCACAAGUUACAAAGGUAAUGAACUCACAAGUUACAAAGGUAAUGAACUCACAAGUUACAAAGGUAAUGAAUACUGUAAGAAUGGUUACUUACGUUUAUACAUGGCUGCAAUCAUGAACAAAUUUUAGAGUAAUGAGCAAUUCACACUUCCACACCCGGUCACAACUGUAGUGAGUUAUUGGUGCAAAUGUUGAUUGCUGAGUCUCUCUCUCUCACACACACACACACACACAUACAAAUUCAUACACACACACACAUAAACACACACACACACACACACACACACACACACACACACACACACACACACACACACACACACACACACACACACACAUACACAAACUCAUACACACACACGCA